rnacentral:lncRNA from 1 species
GAUAGAUUAAAUGAGAAAAUUCCUGUAAGGCACUUAGCAUAUUAUCUGGCUUAAUAAAGAAAAAGAUCAAUUACUUUAAUUAUUAAACCAUAUGGUAGCUGACUAAGUAUAAGCAUAGUCUAAGGGGAGAACUUGGAUUUCAUGGGGGAAAAUACAGAUGAAAAGCAAGGCACGAGUUUGAGCAUGAGUAUGAAAGGGAGGCCAAGCUGCAAUGCUGCCUGUCAGGAAUGGUGCUAGGUAUAAAUCCACUGUCUCAUAGCAACAUUGGACAUGACUUUAUUGGGCCCAGUUCACUGACUGGGAAACUAAAACUGAACCAGAUUACAGAAUUUGGACAAAUCAUUUCUCUGCCCGUGGAAGAUUCAGGUGCUGAGUCCCUGCUGGUUUCAUUGCACGUCCCUUCUCCAGUACGCUGGAGCACAUGGAAUCCAGAAAUGAAAUAAAGGAAGUUUCUAUGCAGAUGCUGGAAGAGUUUGCACAGAAAAGCAAGGCGACAUGGGCUUGUUCUACACUCUUACCAUAACGGGAGGUGGGCUGUCGAAUUUCCCACUUGCUUAUUUCCACAAGCUACUCUAGGGCUGGGUGUUCAGUUGUCAAGGGUCUCCGGGGGGUUCCCUGGUUUUUGGCCCUUUGCUGAGCCCCUCCCCCCCAAAAAAGGCACAAAUAAUAAGUAGAUAAGGAUUGCCCAGCACAAAAAACAAAGUCAGGGACUUGGGACUUUUCCAGGGGCACAUGAUUUGCAAAAAGUUUUUGUUUUUCCUUUCUGUUAAAAUUGCCAAGACCUGAAAUGUAUUUGUUGGGAAAGGGGUGAUAAUGCUAUUGUUACUGCAGAUAAUAUAGUUGCUUAACCAGAAACUGCAAGAUAAACAUGCGAGGGAGAAGGAGCACUGGCAUGGAGCAUUUAGGAAGGUGGUGAUUAUGACACGAAUAGCUGCGUACCAGCAAAGCUGACAGAAAAACUUGUCUAAGCCAAAAAGAAAUCCCCUUAGGGAAGAGAUAACCAGACAUUAGGAUGAGCCCUUGGGAAUAUAGCCCUUAGGGAAUGAGCAGGUGUCUAGGAGUAGGAUUAAGGGAUCCUCUAGCUGCCCAGCAUCCUAGAUGAAUAGGAACUGGGGAAGUUUGGGGCAAUGAUCUGGAAAGAGGGAGAAGAAUGAGGAGUAAGAAGGAGCCUGCUAAUUCAGCAAGAGCUUAGCAUCUGCAUAGAAAUUUACACCGAUAAAAAAUUUCUCCAGAGUUGGAACAAUCUACAAGUUUUCAAGAACAGGGAUAGCUGGAAAAAGCCCAUGCUCACCCCACCCUCCAAAAUUGCAAGUUCUAAUCCCUAAAAUCAGUGACUACUACCUCUAAUGGGGGAAAAAAAAGGAUUCUGCAGAUGUUAUUAAGGAUUUUGAGAUUGAGAGAUUAUCCUGGAUUAUCCAGAUGGUCCCUGAAUAUAGUAAUUUUAUAAGGAGGCAGAGGAAGAUUCGACUACAGAGAAGGCCACAUAGUUUCAAAGGCAGAAAUUGGAAUAGGAUAGUCACAAGUUAAGGAAUGCCAGAAGCCAUUGGAAACUGGAGGAGGAAGAGAAAAAGCUAGAGCUGGUGGGAGAGGGGAGGAGAGAGGGGUAUAGUUUUGCUAACACCUUGAUUUCAGUCCAGCAAUACUGAUUUCGGACCUCUGGCCUCCAGAACUGUGAAAGAGUAAAUUCCUUUUGUUUGGGGGCACUAAAUUUGUGGUAAUUUGUUACAGCAGCUAUAGGAAACAUAAUAACUGACCUUCAAUUUGGAGAAAUUUGCUUUGCUCUUCUGGGAAAUAAUCCCCACUACACCAUUAAAUGGUCAUUUCAGCUUUGCUUAUAAAAGUAAAAAAAAAAAAAAAAUGCAAAGAGCCUAGAACAUCCAUAAAUAGAAGUUUAGUUAAACAAAUGAUGAUAGUUUGUUGAAUGGAGUACUAUGUAACUAUUAAAAAUGAAGUGGCGAGGUAUAUUUACUAACACAGCACUUUGUUCAUAACAACCUUACCAUUAGUUUAAAAAAGAAAGUUAUACACUAAUCUUUUUAGAUAGAAAUUUUGAUCCAUUUUGGAAUUCAUCCUGGUAUUCGCCAUGAGGUAUGAUAUAAGUUUACCUCUUUCUAUUUGGCCACGAUUUUAUGAUUUAUUCCAAUACCACUUACUGAGCAGUACAGGCAUCCUUCACUGAUUUCCUACACAUUAAAUUUCCAUAUACUGAGGUUUAUUUUUGGACUUCUUAGUCUGCCCCAUUGAUCUGUCUGCUUAUUCAUGAUUGGUACCAUGUUGUUGAUAUUACUGAGUCAUUAUAACAUAUUUAAUAUCUGAUAGGACAACCUUCCCCAUUGCUCUAUUUUUUUUUCCAGAAUUUUUCAGCUCUUCUUUCUUGAUUUAGAAUUACCUCAAGUUUUUAAAAGUACGGUGGGUUAUUUUGUGUUGUGAUCAUGUUAAAUUUAUAAAUAGUGAAAAUUGAUGUCUUUAUGGUACUUAGCAAUCUAAGAAUUUUUUUUUUUUUUUGUCUUUUUGUCUUUUUUGUUGUUGUUGUUGCUAUUUCUUGGGCUGCUCCCGCGGCAUAUGGAGGUUCCCAGGCUAGGGGUCAUGCUCUAACCUGCUCCCCAUGUACAUAAAAAAGUCAAAAGAGCGGCCAAACAGAAACCCAGAGCAGUUCCCCAGAGCAAGUCCUAAGGGCAGACAGAGCAAGGUUCACCUACUCGCCUGGGGCCCUCCACCUCCGGUUGAAAGCCCACACCCGACCCGUCACAGGGCUGCCCUCCUUAUUUUAAAAUAAAGGGGCCCUCCAUCCACUAGUUUUUCACUACCCGACUCAGUUCCUGGCCUGCCUAGACCCUGUCUGCCUCGCUCCUCACCUAUGGUGAGGAGGGUAGCAUGGGAUAACUUGCACAUUCCAUCAGGGGAAGGAAGCUGGCUGCUUUCCUGGGAACAAAUUCCCGGAUCCGCUACCAGUUGACUUUGCAGGCUGUCAAACUCAAGCCCUCCAAGUGAGCAUGUACUGCCCCGUCACGUUUAGGCUUUAGUGUUCCUGUGGGGUCACAAGAUCCUUGGCUCUAGAUUAUCUGGUAGGAAGUAGAGAAGGAACAGGAGGACAAAGUCCUAAUGACUCAUGAGCAUCCACCACGAGCUCAUGCAGUUAUUACCAUGAUCACCACUCCCCACAGAUCUCAUUUAAGCCUGAUAGCAUCUCUGACUAUGGAUGAUGAAACCAAAGCUCAGGGUGUGUAAGUGUUUCGCUUGACAUCACGCAGGCAGCAAAUGCCAAAGAGGAUUUGCGCUGGAUCCUGACUCCAAAGCCUUUGCUUUGUUUCCCCGGUGAUGCCUGGCUGCCCCACCACCAGCCUCAAAGGCUACUGUGUGCAAAUUUGUCAGAAGUGUCCUUACUCAGGACACAUCGCUGCCAACUGCCAGAACAUUGUCAUGAGCAUUACAAAAAUCUUUGGGAGAAAUGGCAUCCCUGUCGGGUUAUUCAUGUCCCCCAGCACGUUCUGGGAUGGGCCCGACUGAGCCCCUACGCGACCCCGCCAUCCUCCCUACUUGGGCAGAGGCACAGGCCGCUCCCGUUUGGGCUGAGCAAAGCGGUGGAGAGUUUCCAGCACUCAAGGUAACGGGAAAUGUUCAGCAAAGUAGGUGAAAAGCCUUGUCUAACAUUUCCAUUUACCUACUUUGUCUGAAUAAGUGUCAUUAAUUCAAACCAUUUCAAAAUGGGGCUUGAUGAUGUGUGAGAGCGGAAGCCCCUGAGCACCAGGCCGCCCCGCACCACAUCCUCGCUGACGCUAUCUCUUGCCUGAAGCGAUCAAUUGAACCCCGGCAAAUGUGCUGUGAAUAUUGCAGCUAAACCCACCGCUAAUGCGCGGGUGUCUGUGCGCGCAGCCGCAGCCGGGACGGGGAUGGGGCGGCCGCAGAGGCUGCUCUUCGCAGAUACACUCCCCCCAUCCCAGCCCCGCCUGACUGCCCUCCCUUCUCUAGCUACCCCCUCCUUCUCAAAGCCCCCCACUUAGAAACCGCGCGAGGCCCACUUCAAACAAGAAAAAAGAUGGAUGAGCAUAGUUUUCCCUCUAGGAAAUACCCCCGCAAAUCAACUGCUUCUCUUAGUGCUCGCUGCUAAUGCUUUUCAUAUAGACAGCGGUGUUCUUACAGCCUCAAUAAUACUGUAAAAAUUCUGCAGCCAGAAGGAAAACCCAUCCCUUUGCAAAAGCAAGAGUAAAGUCUGAAAGCUUAGCAACGUACAACUUUAAUAUUUUGGUUGAUAACAUGCCAUGGACUCAGAAUAUUUUCCAUUUCCUCUUUGUCCUUUUUCCAGUGAUUUCAAAGGACUUUAUUAAAUCUAUCAAAACCUAAAUAUGGUAAAUUAGGUGACUUUUUUUUUUCUUCUAAAAAAUACACAAGAAAGGUAUAUGCAUCCAAAUAAGUCUCAUCCUCUUCAAAGUAGAUUCCUAUAUGGGAUUUGGACUUGUUUCAGUGAUCCCCUUCCUUCUCCAGCACACACGCACACACGCACAGUUGUUUAUCUGUGUGAGAAAUUCUUUUGCAAUUGAGUUUAGCACCAGCAUAACAUUUUGAAUAUCUUUCAUGGGUGCACAGCAUGAUUUGUGGGAAAAGCCCAAGAUACUGAGUGCCAUGUCUGAUGUCUUUAAAAAACAAUGAAGUGGGACUCUAGUAUUUGAGGGUUUAAAUGAGAUUGUACCAGAGGGGGAGAAAAAAAAGCUGAUUUUUAUCACAUGGCUUAUAAGUGGGAUCUACCUGCCAGUUCAGGGCAGCAACUGCCAACAUGUUCUGAGCAGAGUGAAGCAGCACUGGCGCAGUGGAUUCUGGGAAUGUUUUGGAACCUCAAGGAACCUGUUUCCUCACCAGCCAGACGAGGAAAUUCAAAGCUGCCCAAUUUGCCUCACAAGGCACGCUGAAGACCAUUUCAUGAAGAAAUAUUUCUUUAGAAAUCAUCUGCAUUCGAAUCCAAUACCCAAAACUCAUCAAAGCAGAGCUGUUCCAGACUUAUGGUUGCCAAGAGGGAGCAGGAGGAAGCGGGAUGGACUGGGAGUUUGGCGUUAGUAGAUGCAAAUUUUACAUUUAGAAUGGAUAAGCAAUGAGGCCCUACUGUAUAGCACAGGGAACUAUAUCCAGUCUCUUGGGAUAGACCAUGAUGGAAGAUAAUAUAAGAAAGGGAAUAUAUAUGUGUAUAUGACUGGGUCACUUUGCUGUACAGCAGAAAUUAGCACAACAUUGUAUAUCAACUAUAAUUAAAAAAAAAAAAAAAGGCAGAGCUCAGUCCCUAAGGCAUCUCAGAGACUCCCUGCCUGCUCUCUGCACACAGUC